rnacentral:misc_RNA from 1 species
GAUGAAGAACGCAGCGAAAUGCGAUAAGUAAUGUGAAUUGCAGAAUUCAGUGAAUCAUCGAAUCUUUGAACGCACAUUGCGCCCGUCAGUAUUCUGGCGGGCAUGCCUGUUCGAGCGUCAUUACGCCCCUCAAGUCCCCUGUGGACUUGGUGUUGGGGAUCGGCGAGGCUGGUUUUCCAGCACAGCCGUCCCUUAAAUUAAUUGGCGGUCUCGCCGUGGCCCUCCUCUGCGCAGUAGUAAAACACUCGCAACAGGAGCCCGGCGCGGUCCACUGCCGUAAAACCCCCCAACUUUUUAUAGUUGAACUCGAAUCAGGUAGGACUACCCGCUGAACUUAAGCAUAUCAAUAAGCGGAGGA